rnacentral:rRNA from 1 species
CAGCAGCCGCGGUAAUACGUAGGUGGCAAGCGUUGUCCGGAAUUAUUGGGCGUAAAGGGCUCGCAGGCGGUUUCUUAAGUCUGAUGUGAAAGCCCCCGGCCCAACCGGGGAGGGUCAUUGGAAACUGGGAAACUUGAGUGCAGAAGAGGAGAGUGGAAUUCCACGUGUAGCGGUGAAAUGCGUAGAGAUGUGGAGGAACACCAGUGGCGAAGGCGACUCUCUGGUCUGUAACUGACGCUGAGGAGCGAAAGCGUGGGGAGCGAACAGGAUUAGAUACCCGCGUAGUCCCUGUCUCUUAUAC